GCCUCCCUUCCCACAUAGGCCUGUGCUAUGUCCAGCUGUUUGUAGCUACGUAGACACAUGGGGCUGUUUUUGGCAUAUUCAUGGUACUGUUAAACUGAUCUGUCUUCCUAGAAUGUGUCCUCUGCCAUCUUCAUGCAAAAUAUCCUUUUGCUUGCUCAUCCUUCAAGACUCAAGAAUCAUCUUUUCUGCCAAGUCUCUUCUGAUAUUCCUAUAGCAGCGUCAGAAGAAUCCUCACAGACGUCUGAGAAAUCUUCGUUCUAUGGACCCUCCUUUGCAAGCAGCUUUCUAGGACUUCCAUCAGCUACUAAUUUAGCAGAGCCCAGAGUCUCCCUGUGUGUCCUUGAGCUGAGAUGCAGAAGAUCAAGUAUGAUCCUGCCUGGGUUCCAUGAGUUGCAGCAUUUGAUGAACGUGUGAACCUACUUCUAAAAAGAAACUCGAUUGAAAUUUUCAAGACUGUGAAAAAGUUUUCAAAAAUGGAA
rnacentral:lncRNA from 1 species